ACAGCCCCGGCAGGUUUAUGGGUUAAGUCCAGUAAAUACAUGAGAAUGACCAAAUAUGAACAAACCAUAGUGUUUAGUGAAGCAUCAAAUCAGUCAUUUGGUGGAAAAAAAAAGUGAAAAUAAAUAUCUGAAGCCAGUCGGCGAUAUGUUCGACGGCAAGCCUUUACAAUCACCAAACCUCUUCCGUCGAAUUUUCACUCUGCGUUUUUCUCCCGUCGCCGUCGAACAUGUGAGAUGUCUCUCCACUUCCAUCACCGAAGAUGCAUUCGAGCAAUCUUCUUCUCGAGGAACCGAUCAUGAUGGCUUCAAUCCUCAAGCCUUUCAAAUCGAUCGUCGGAACUCUCGGUCCCAAAUACCGAUCCGUCGAGGCUCUAUCCGGCUGUCUCAAAACCGGCAUGUCUGUGGCUCCAGUCGAUUUCAGUUGGGGAGAUGCUGAUUAUAUCACCAGGAGACAAUGGAUAAUCUCAAGGUUUUUGUAAGGAGCUCUAAGAAGCUUUGUGUGAGAGUAAAGUCUAUGAAACAACUAAUCAAAGUAGCAUUAAAACUUCAUAAUUUGUCUCUGCCACAAAGCUCUUAACUCAUUCUAUUCACUGGUGGAGAAAAAGAAGAGAGCCAACAAAGCUAUUGGAGGUACCGUACCGAUAUGCGGGAUCAAGUUAGAGUUUAUACAGAAAAUAAAGUUAAGGUUUACAUACCUUCUCGGAGGCUAUUGUCAAAACUUUUUGGCAAUAAGCGAGUCAGUUGAUAUUCUGGAAAACCUCCUUGAAAACAACAUUUGGUGGGCAAAUGCUUUGUGUGUUCGAUGGUGUGAUGAAAGGUGAAGC